AGUUGGCCCGCGUUAGUGAUGGAAGCGAAAAUCCUUUUGAAGCGCAGCGGAAAAAGAUUGCAGCGGACAGCGCGGCCCGCA
rnacentral:sRNA from 1 species